rnacentral:rRNA from 1 species
CCUACGGGAGGCAGCAGUGAGGAAUCUUCCGCAAUGGGCGCAAGCCUGACGGAGCGACGCUGCGUGCGGGAAGAAGGCCUUCGGGUCGUAAACCGCUUUUUGGAAGGACGAUAAUGACGGUACUUCCAAGAAUAAGCAUCGGCUAACUACGUGCCAGCAGCCGCGGUAAUACGUAGGAUGCGAGCGUUAUCCGGAUUUACUGGGCGUAAAGCGUCUGUAGGUGGUUUUGUGCGUUGGAUGCCAAAUCUCUGUGCUUAACGCAGAGCCGGUGUCCAAUACGGCAAAACUUGAGGGAACUAGAGGGUGAUGGAAUUCCCGGUGUAGCGGUGAAAUGCGUUGAUAUCGGGAGGAACGCCAAUGGCGAAGGCAGUCACCUGGGGUUUUCCUGACACUGAGAGACGAAAGCGUGGGGAGCAAACAGGAUUAGAUACCCCUGUAGU